ensembl:lncRNA
GAGGAGGAGGGGGAGCAGGAAUGCGGGGCUGGAGAUGCGGCCUCAGGGUGGAUGCGGUGCCGGCAGUCCCAGUGCGCUCCAGUAGGUAACUGGGAAUGCUGGCACCUCUGGAGAGGAAUUGAUGAAAAGCUUUUAGGGGGCUCUGUGCGUUCCAUUUGCCUGUUUAAAGGAGAAUCAGAAAGAGCAGAGCUGGGAAAUGCAUCCAGCACAACUCACCCGGCCUCCUUUGGGAAAGGCUUGGAGUCUGCCCAGCUGGGCUCCCAGCGGGGAGAGGAAGAGGAAGGUAAAGAAAGUGCAUUUUUGUCACCAGCUUUGUCACCUGUGGACACUUGUGGAACGCUGGAUGGCCUCGUGCUGCCCUGCUGUGGGUCCUGGCAGUGCCUCAGGAGCGCUGGCUGUGCUGUGGGGACAUCCCAGGGGACAGGAGGAGACACCUUGGCUCUCCUCAGGCCUCUCCUGGUGCGUGAUUUUAAACCCCAGCCCAGCUCAGGGAACGAGCCAGAGCUCUGAGGAUACUUCAGGAAUAUUGGAUGGCCUCAUGAAGCCCCAGCCCUGCUGCAGGUCCUGGCUGUGCCGUGGGGACAUCCCAAGGGGCAGGAGGAGCCACCUUCACUCUCCUCAGGCCUCUCCUGGUGUGUGACUUUAAAGCCUCAGCCCCGCUUGGAGCACGAGCCAAAGCUCUGAGCUCAUCCCUGUCCCAGGGAGCUGCUAAACCCCCUCAAAUCUUUCUUGUUCAGCAGCACUUCAUAUAAAUCCCGUAAUGUGCGGAUCACUCCGGCUGCCAACGGCUCUGGGGCCGGGGGGGAUGGUGGGGGGGAUGAUUGCAGUCCCUGCUCCAUUCCCAGGAGAUCCCGGGAAACCGAGGGCUGCCAGCAGAUGUCUGCAGGAUGGAGGCACGCUGGGACCCCGGGAAUCAGCUGGCAAAUGGGAUGCACUGGGUAUGGAUUAACAACCCAUUAGCACAGAGGCUCGGGGCUGCCUUACUCAAAUCCCCCCCUGGAACUGCAGGAUUCCUGCCUUCCAUCCCCCACGGAACGUCAGCGAGGGCUCAGGGGCACUGCACAGCGCUUCCCGAAGGGAGGGCAAUGAUUUCCCGGGAUGAACCCAGCAGGUCUGCUCCGUGCUGCGGUUGCUGGAUGUGGAUGUGGCCGAAGGAACAUUUGGGAACGCUCAGGAACACUCGGGGAUGACUCAAACCUGCUGCUGGAGGAGCUGCAGCCACGCAGGGAGAGCCUCUGGCUGUGACUGGGCACGAGGUCCUGCCUGCUUUCCGCCUUUUUCCAGGGAAUCACUGCUCAAGAGGCUUCCAGGAGCAGCAUGACCCAAUUCCCCCCUUCCUGCUGUGCCAGGGAGUUCAUCCUGGUGGUCAAGGAAGGACUUUUAAUCCAAUUUUUUUCUCUCCAGAAAUAAUCAUCUGGAAUUGGUGACAAAACCCACCCUGGGGAGAGGCAUUUUGUCCCUGAGGGCCACUGGGUCCCUGCUGGGAUCAUGACCUGGUUAUUGGAGGUGACUGAAAAAUGCACAUUCCAAAAUGGGAUAUUGGAAUCAUCGGUGGAAUCCUUCUUCCCACCAGGGAAAAUCAGAAAUAUCUGGAAGUUUGUGCUCAAAGUGAGAGAUUUCUGGCUGCAGAGGUCACCUCUGCCGUGGGAUUCUGGGCUUAAAUUUGGGACAGCCACAUCACAUUCCCCUCCGUCCCUGGGUUUGCAUAGCUCAGAUCUCAAAUCCUUUGGGAAUUUCAUGUGGAGAGUUUUGCAAAGGGAAGAACUCCCUGUUGCCACCUACUUGGACGCAGAUUGGCAGCACUUUGAGUCCAGUUCAGAAUUCCAGGAAUGUGUUGGGAUGGAAAAGAGCAGGAAGAAAAGGGAAACGGCUGCUGUGAUGCCAUGGAAUGCUCAAAUAGAUCCCUGGCAUUCAGGCAUUGGGAUCAGCCCAGCUACAAGGGAUUAAGAAAAUUAUAACGUCAUUUUUGCUUCCUGAAAAACAUUGUUUCAUCCAAAAUAAAAGCUUCCCAAAAGGGGAAAAAAAUGAAGAU